GUGAGGAAUAUUGCGCAAUGGAGGCAACUCUGACGCAGCCAUGCCGCGUGCAGGAAGAAGGCGCUACGCGUUGUAAACUGCUUUUAACCGGGAAGAAACCCCAGGACGUGUCCUGGGUUGACGGUACCGGAGGAAUAAGCACCGGCUAACUUCGUGCCAGCAGCCGCGGUAAUACGAAGGGUGCAAGCGUUAUCCGGAUUCAUUGGGUUUAAAGGGUGCGUAGGCGGAGCGUUAAGUCAGUGGUGAAAUCCUGCAGCUUAACUGUAGACUUGCCAUUGAUACUGGCGCUCUUGAGUGCGCUUGAAGUGGGCGGAAUGUGCCGUGUAGCGGUGAAAUGCUUAGAUAUGGCACAGAACACCAAUUGCGAAGGCAGCUCACUAAGGCGAUACUGACGCUGAGGCACGAAAGCAUGGGGAUCGAACAGGAUUAGAAACCCUAGUAGUCC
rnacentral:rRNA from 1 species